CAAGACCAGCGUAUUUAUGUUUCAGAUUUAACCAAAUAUAACUGUGUAAAGAGACAUCUCUGGUGUGUUCCCAUAGUAUUAAUCUUCACUACAUAACACAGGCGUGUGGAAAUGGAACAGCUCCAACAGAGAAAUGAGUUGCCGAAGUCCCAAGUCACAUCCCUAAAAAGAGCACCAAAAGAAGAGUCCCUGGGGGCAGCUGGGAACUACAGGAAGAGAGCUACCAACAUGGAAGAUGAUGGAACUAAACCCAAAUAAACCUGCUGGGGAAUGCCAGCAGUUCUGUUCGGGGGUUACCAUAGAGCAAACUCAACGGGCAACAGAGGAGAGCAGUCGAGAAGGAUGAAAGUGUGUGAGGCCUUGGUAUCAUCUGGAAGGAGAG
rnacentral:lncRNA from 1 species